rnacentral:rRNA from 1 species
UACGUAGGGGGCAAGCGUUGUCCGGAUUUACUGGGCGUAAAGCGCACGUAGGCGGUUCGAUCAGUCAGGGGUGAAAUCCCAGGGCUCAACCCUGGAACUGCCUUUGAUACUGUCGAUCUGGAGUAUGGAAGAGGUGAGUGGAAUUCCGAGUGUAGAGGUGAAAUUCGUAGAUAUUCGCAAGAACACCAGUGGCGAAGGCGGCUCACUGGCCCGAUACUGACGCUGAGGCACGAAAGCGUGGGGAGCAAACAGG